UACGGAGGGUGCGAGCGUUGUCCGGAAUCACUGGGCGUAAAGGGCGCGUAGGCGGCUUCUCAAGCGUGUGGUGAAAGUCCGGGGCUCAACCCCGGAUCGGCCGUGCGGACUGGGGAGCUCGAGUUCUGUAGAGGCGGGUGGAAUUCCGGGUGUAGCGGUGGAAUGCGUAGAGAUGCGGAGGAACACCGAUGGCGAAGGCAGCCCCCUGGGCUGACACUGACGCUCAGGCACGAAAGCGUGGGGAGCAAACAGG
rnacentral:rRNA from 1 species